rnacentral:rRNA from 1 species
AUUGAACGCUGGCGGCAGGCCUAACACAUGCAAGUCGAACGAGUGGCGGACGGGUGAGUAAUGUCUGGGAAACUGCCCGCUGGAAGGGGAUAAAUACUGGAAACGGUAGCUAAUACCGCAUACCAUCGGAUGUGCCCAGAUGGGAUUAGCUUGUAGGUGAGGUAACGUCUCACCUAGGCGACGAUCCCUAGCUGGUCUGAGAGGAUGAUCCGUAACACUGGAACGGAGACACGGUCCAGACUCCUACGGGAGGCAGCAGUGGGGAAUAUUGGACAAUGGGCGAAAGCCUGAUCCAGCCAUGCCGCGUGUGUGAAGAAGGUCUUCGGAUUGUAAAGCACUUUAAGUUGGGAGGCGUUACCAACAGAAUAAGCACCGGCUAACUUCGUGCCAGCCGCCGCGGUAAUAC